AACGAACGCUGGCGGCGCGUCUUAAGCAUGCAAGUCGAACGGCAAGGGAGGAGCUUGCUUCUCUCCUAGAGUGGCGGACUGGUGAGGAACACGUGGGUAAUCUACCCUUAAGAUGGGGAUAGCUGCUAGAAAUAGCAGGUAAUACCGAAUACACUCGGCAUAUCACAAGAGGUGUUGAGGAAAGGAAGCUACGGCUUCGCUUGAGGAUGAGCUUGCGUCCCAUUAGCUAGUUGGUGAGGUAAAGGCCCACCAAGGCGACGAUGGGUAUCCGGCCUGAGAGGGUGAACGGACACAUUGGGACUGAGAUACGGCCCAAACUCCUACGGGAGGCAGCAGCUAAGAAUAUUCCGCAAUGGACGGAAGUCUGACGGAGCGACGCCGCGUGGAUGAAGAAGGCUGAAAAGUUGUAAAAUCCUUUUGUUGAUGAAGAAUAAGGGUGAGAGGGAAUGCUCAUCUGAUGACGGUAAUCGACGAAUAAGCCCCGGCUAAUUACGUG
rnacentral:rRNA from 1 species